CUUUGAUUCAGCGGCGGACGGGUGAGUAAUGCCUAGGAAUCUGCCUGAUAGUGGGGGACAACGUUUCGAAAGGGGCGCUAAUACCGCAUACGUCCUACGGGAGAAAGCAGGGGACCUUCGGGCCUUGCGCUAUCAGAUGAGCCUAGGUCGGAUUAGCUAGUUGGUGAGGUAAUGGCUCACCAAGGCGACGAUCCGUAACUGGUCUGAGAGGACGAUCAGUCACACUGGAACUGAGACACGGUCCAGACUCCUACGGGAGGCAGCAGUGGGGAAUAUUGGACAAUGGGCGAAAGCCUGAUCCAGCCAUGCCGCGUGUGUGAAGAAGGUCUUCGGAUUGUAAAGCACUUUAAGUUGGGAGGAAGGGCAUUAACCUAAUACGUUAGUGUUUUGACGUUACCGACAGAAUAAGCACCGGCUAACUUCGUGCCAGCAGCCGCGGUAAUACGAAGGGUGCAAGCGUUAAUCGGAAUUACUGGGCGUAAAGCGCGCGUAGGUGGUUUGUUAAGUUGAAUGUGAAAGCCCCGGGCUCAACCUGGGAACUGCAUCCAAAACUGGCAAGCUAGAGUAUGGCAGAGGGUGGUGGAAUUUCCUGUGCAGCGG
rnacentral:rRNA from 1 species